AAUCCAUGCAUCGGACAUUUUUGAAGUAAUUCUUUAAAUUGUUCCCAAGCUUCAUAUAGCGUUUCAUCCUCCGAUUGCCAAAAAAAUAUGAUGUCAUUUGUAACAGC
rfam:Gossypium hirsutum cultivar TM-1 chromosome 15, whole genome shotgun sequence